rnacentral:tRNA from 1 species
GGCCCUGUAGCUCAGCGGUAGAGCGCCGGCUCGACACGCCGGUUGUCGGAAGUUCGAACCUUCCCGGGGUCACCA